rnacentral:lncRNA from 1 species
GGAUAUUAAAAUUUUUAUAUAAAUAUAUUAAAAAAAUGUCAAAUAUAUGAAAUAUAUUAGCCAUAAAUUAAAAUUUUAGAAGAAUAUCUUAAAUUAUAAAUUAAUUUAUAUAAAUAUAAAAAGAUGAAUUUAGGAGACAAAAUCCAUCCUAUACCGUUAAAGUCUGCCACUGCUAAAUAGACUUCAUAUUCCUUUUACACAGAAAAUUUUCAUAUGAAAUGUUACGUCUUACUUCAUACUUUUUCUUUUUAUAUAUAUAAAGGUUUUUUUUUUCUUUUUUAUUAUAUAUUACUAUAUCAAUCCAUCUUAGACAAAUAAGAACAAAAAUUAUUUCUAGGAAUUUUUUUUCCUUAUUUUUCAAGCAACUAUGUUCAUAAUAUAUUGCCUACAUUUGUUUAUUCCUUCUUACUCAUCCUUUU